GGUCGGUUAGCUUAGUUGGUAGAGCAUACGCCUAAUACACAUCAUGUAGUAUAGCGUAAGGUCGACGGUUCGAUCCCGCCAUUGAUCA